CACACACGACAAGAUGAGACUGCUCUAGCUAAGGGAGCUAGCAGCCAUUAGCCGGUAAACACAGGAAUCAGGCCUCUCUCCUUGCUGCUCUGCUGUGGACGUCAUUCACUCGAGAAUGGAGUGAAGACGGGACACUGGCGCUUCUUGUUGUCCUGUGGCAUCGCCGAAACCGGGACAGAGCCGAGGGUUUGGCCUCAGCCUGCAAGGGGCCCAGUCAUGGCAUCAAACCUGUGUGUGCGCAGCCGGUGCUGCAGCAGCAGCAGCAGUGGGGAUGUCCGAGGGCAGAUGAAUGACACAUGCAUCUCAUAGGAGUGUGUGUGUUUGUGCAUGCUCCCUGGACACAGAGAAACUCAGGAUGCAUGUGGUGUGUGUGGUGCGGAUUAAUAAAGACACUGCAAAGACUGCAUGUUCCCUAGGGGGGGGGGCUGUGGUACCUUUAUGGCGACUCGUUUUUCCAAUGCAAGGCCACAGAUGGAAUGGGAAAUUACAACAAUGCAAUUAAAAUGCAAAUAUAAAA